CAAGCACUUCCUUUGUCCAGAAAUACUUGUGAGAGAAAUGGAUGUAUCUAGAUGUAUUUUAAUUUUAGAUACAUCCAUUUUUAUCCAUUUCUUCAGCAAGUAUUUUCGGACAGAAUUAAUAGAAG
rnacentral:pre_miRNA from 1 species